rnacentral:rRNA from 1 species
UUUUCAGCAGCCGCGGUAAUACAGAGGGUGCGAGCGUUGUCCGGAAUCACUGGGCGUAAAGGGCGCGUAGGUGGCUGUGUAAGUCGGGGGUGAAAUGCUGCGGCUCAACCGCAGCGCUGCCUCCGAGACUGCACGGCUUGAGCACGGUAGAGGCCGAUGGAAUUCCCGGUGUAGCGGUGGAAUGCGUAGAGAUCGGGAAGAACACCGAUGGCGAAGGCAGUCGGCUGGGCCGUUGCUGACACUGAGGCGCGACAGCGUGGGGAGCAAACAGGAUUAGAUACCCUAGUAGUCC